CUGGAAUCGCUAGUAAUCGCGAAUCAGAAUGUCGCGGUGAAUACGUUCCCGGGUCUUGUACACACCGCCCGUCACACCAUGGGAGUCGGAAAUGCCCGAAGUCAGUGACCCAACCGUAAGGAGGGAGCUGCCGAAGGUGGAGCCGGUAACUGGGGUNAAGUCGUAACAAGGUAGC
rnacentral:rRNA from 1 species